rnacentral:rRNA from 1 species
AGCUUAAAGAUUAUAUUUUAAGUGAAUUCUGCCCAGCGUUGGUUAAAAAAUUAGCGGCCGCAGUACCUUGACUGUGCUAAGGUAGCAUAAUCAAUUGGCUUUUAAUUGAAGUCUGGAAUGAAAGGUUAAAUAAAGAAUUUACUGUAUCUUUUUAAUUUUUGUGAAUUUAUUUAUAAAGUGAAAAUACUUUUACCUAGAAAAAAGACGAGAAGACCCUUAGAAUUUUAAUUUUAUUUUAUUUUUUUAAGAUUUAUUUUUGUUGGGGCGACAUUGAAACAUAUUAAACUUUCAAGAUUUUUACACAACAAUUUUCUUUGCACGAUCAAAUUACCUUAGGGAUAACAGCAUAAUGAAUUUAUUAGCUUAUGACCUCGAUGUUGGACUAGGAACUAAAGGACUAACAGUCAAAAUAGAGUGUUCUGUUCGAACAAUUUCUCCU